rnacentral:ncRNA from 1 species
CCUGGCGGCGAUGGCAGUAGAGCUCUUUCUCGAUUCCGUGGGUGGUGGUGCAGGGCCGUUCUUGGUGGAGCGAUUUGCCUGGGUAAUUCCGAUAACGAACAAGACUCUGGCAUGCUAACUAGUUACGCGACCCCCGAGCGGCUGGCGUCCAACUUCUUAGAGGGACAAGUGGCGUUUAGCCACCCGAGAUUGAGCAACUACAGGGGCAGGUUGGAGAGCCCU